rnacentral:rRNA from 1 species
CCUACGGGAGGCAGCAGUGGGGGAUAUUGCACAAUGGGGGAAACCCUGAUGCAGCGACGCCGCGUGUGGGAAGACGGUCCUCUGGAUUGUAAACCACUGUCCCCAGGGACGAAGAUGACGGUACCUGGGGAGGAAGCUCCGGCUAACUACGUCCCAGCAGCCGCGGUAAUACGUAGGGGGCGAGCGUUGUCCGGAAUUACUGGGGUUAAAGGGAGAGUAGGCGGGACUGCAAGUUGGGGGUCAAAUCUACGGGCUCAACCGGUAGCCGCACUCAAAACUGCAGUUCUUGAGUGAAGUAGAGGCAGGCGGAAUUCCUAGUGUAGCGGGGAAAUGCGUAGAUAUUAGGAGGAACACCAGUGGCGAAGGCGGCCUGCUGGGCUUUUACUGACGCUGAGGCUCGAAAGUGUGGGGAGCAAACAGGAUUAGAUACCCCAGUAGUC